UACCAGCACCCCGAGUGGUCGGGACGAUUAUUGGGCCUAAAGCUCAUCGUAGCCGGUUUUACAAGUCCUCCGUUAAAUCCAGCUGCUUAACAGAUGGGCUGCGGAGGAUACUAUAAGACUAGGAGGCAGGAGAGGCAAGCGGUACUCAGUGGGUAGGGGUAAAAUCCGUUGAUCCAUUGAAGACCACCAGUGGCGAAGGCGGCUCACUGGCCCGGUACUGACGCUGAGGUGCGAAAGCGUGGGGAGCAAACAGG
rnacentral:rRNA from 1 species